rnacentral:rRNA from 1 species
AUGGGGCUCCUGGAGCUCUUCAUCACGGCAUGCAUGCCCGUUCUCAACAUGCUCCUGGUUACUGGUGUUGGAUCAUUCUUGGCAACGGACUCCGCUGGGAUACUGGGGAAAGAAGCCAGGAAACACCUAAACUAUGUAGUGUUUUAUGUAUUCAAUCCAGCUCUUAUUGCAACCUAUCUGGGAAAAACGAUCACCAUGGAAAGCUUGGCCAAAUUGUGGUUCAUGCCGGUGAAUGUGUUCUUCACUUUCAUCUUGGGGUUGAUCUUCGGUUGGAUCGUCAUAAAAGUCACCGGGGCUCCCCUCAUGUUAAGAGGCCUCAUUUUGGGUUGCUGUUCUGCUGGCAAUCUGGGCAACAUUUUCCUCAUCAUCAUCCCAGCUCUCUGCAAAGAGAAGGGGAGCCCGUUCGGCGCACCUGAUGUUUGUCAGACUUACGGACUAGCGUAUUCCUCGCUCUCAUUGGCUAUUGGUGCCGUCUUUCUGUGGAUGGGCGUGUAUAACAUCAUUCGUGCAAAUUCAAAUGUCACUGAAGGACAUGGCAGCUCGCCAAUAAUUCAAACAAAAGUCUUGGUUUCAGGAGGAACCGGAUGUGCGGAUUCAGAAGAUAAUCAUUCAAUUUCGAGUGGUCGUGUUGACGAAUGCGCUCUCCCGUUGAUAUCAAAUAAAACCAAAACAAAGGUCCCAUUGUUGGAGAGAGCAAAAGGAUUUGUAUCGUCAGUUUCUGGAGCAGUUGAUUUGAAGAAGCUAUUCGCUCCUUCAACUAUUGGAGUGCGGAGCAGCCGUUCCAUCCGUCACGUUGAUCAUGGGAGGGAACCUCAUCACAGGGAUACGCGGAAGGGCGAGCGUCCCGCCGUCAGUGAUCGCCGGCGUCGUGGUUGUCAGGUUUGUGCUGCUGCCUCUGGUGGGCACCGCGCUGGUGAAGGCCGCGGUCCGCUACGCGUCAUCCGGCCGGACCCGCUGUACCAGUUCGUCCUCCUGCUGCAGUACGCCGUCCCGCCCGCCAUGAACAUCGGGACGAUCACACAGCUGUUCGGCGUGGGGGAGAGCGAGUGCUCGGUGAUCUUCGUGUGGGUGUACGCGCUCGCGUCCGUGGCCGUCACCAUGUGGUCCGCGUUUUUCAUGUGGACGCUCUCGUGA